rnacentral:sRNA from 1 species
GUCGGAGCGCGGCUCAGCGGCGCGGCGGAGACUCGGCACGGCGGCGGCCAGGCGCAGGCGGGCGGGCGGAGCAGCGGACGGCGCCGAGGCCGCCCCACGCGCCGGGCUCGCGGCGGCGCAGCGCGCCGGAGUGGUCGGGGCCCGCGGCCGCUCGCGCCUCUCGAUGGGCAGCUCGCACUUGCUCAACAAGGGCCUGCCGCUUGGUCCUGAACGAGGCUGUGGGGGCCCUGAUGUACCACACCAUCACGCUCACCAGGGAGGACCUGGAGAAGUUCAAAGCCCUCCGCAUCAUCGUCCGGAUUGGCAGUGGUUUUGACAACAUCGACAUCAAGUCGGCCGGGGAUUUAGGCAUCGCCGUCUGCAACGUGCCUGCAGCGUCUGUGGAGGAGACGGCCGACUCGACGCUGUGCCACAUCCUGAACCUGUACCGGCGGGCCACCUGGCUGCACCAGGCGCUGCGGGAGGGCACACGAGUCCAGAGCGUCGAGCAGAUCCGCGAGGUGGCGUCCGGCGCCGCCAGGAUCCGCGGGGAGACCUUGGGCAUCAUCGGACUUGGUGCGUCGG